CCAAAUUAUCCUCAUAAGUUUGACGAUAAGAGGAACCAUUUAAAGUUUAAAUUUUAAAUGGUGGCACAGAAUCGGAGGCCCCGACUGUUUACUAAAAACACAAUUCAGAGCAAUGAUUAAGAUAAUAGUAUUCUGAAUGAAAUUUGCCCGAUGCCAUUAAUAUAAGAGAGGUAAUUUAUAAAGUUACUAAUCGAAAGUCUGGUUAAUAGCGGUCUUAACUAUGAGGAUCCAAAGGUAGCAAAAUCAGUUGGCCAUUAAAUGUGGUCUGGUAUCAAUAGUGUAACGAUGGUCUCACUGUCUCUACAACUUGCUCAGUGAAAUUGAAUUACCCGUGCAGAUGCGGGUUGCCUCCAGGUGGACGGGAAGANCCCUAUGCAGCUUU
rnacentral:rRNA from 1 species